UCGGGGCGUCGUGUGGGGGUUUCGGGGCAUCGUGUCGGGUGUCAGGGUUUUGUUUUCUUCUUCAUCUUCUUUUUUUCAUCUUCUUCUGUUUCGUCUUCUUCUUCUUCCUUCCUUCCUUUUUUUCUUCUUCUACUUAUUCUUAUUCUUCUUCUUCUUCUUCUUCUUCUUCUUCUUCUUCUUCUCUUCUUCUUUUUCUUCUUCUUCUUCUUAUUCCUUCUUUUCCUUUUUCCUCUUCUUCUUCUUCUUCUUCUUCUUCCUUCUUUUCCUUUUUCCUCUUCUUCUUUUCCAUUUGUGCGAGAAAGAUAGCCUUG
rnacentral:lncRNA from 1 species